UAGCGUAUAUUAAAGUUGUUGCGGUUAAAAAGCUCGUAGUUGGAUUUCUGUUGAGGUUGGGCGGUCCGCACUACGUGCGAGUAUCUGCUUCGGCCUUGGCAUCCUCUCGGAAAACGCUACUGUGCUUGAUUGCAUGGUGCGGGGUUCGGGACUUUUACUUUGAGGAAAUUAGAGUGUUCACGGCAGGCAAUCGCCCUGAAUAUAUUAGCAUGGAAUAAUAAUAUAGGAUCUGAUGCCUAUUUUGUUGGUUUCUAGGCGUGAGAUAAUGAUUAAUAGGGACAAUUGGGGGGAUUCGUAUUAUGGCGUC
rnacentral:rRNA from 1 species